UCUGUGAGUUCCUUUCGGUGAAUGAACGCACGGGUGACCUGCCUGGGGUAACCUGAUAACUAUUGGAGGAUAUCAUUUAUACCGCAUAAUAUUGAUUAUUGCAUGACUAUUGAUUGAAGGAUGCUAUUGCAUCACUACCUUAUGGACCUGCUUUGUAUUAGCUCCUAGGUGAGGUAACGGCUCGGCUAGGCAACGAUUCAUAGCCGACCUGAGAGGGUGAUCACCCACACUGGGACUGAGACACGGCCCAAACUCCUACGGGAGGCAACUCCUAGGAAUCUUCGGCAACGGACAUCUUUCUGACCGAGCAACGCCGCGAUGAGUGAAGAAGGUUUUCAGAUCAUAAAGCUCUGUUGUAAGAAAAGAACGGGUGUGAGAAUGAAAAGUUCACACUGUGACGGAUUCUUACCAGAAAGGGACGGCUAACUACGUGCCAGCUACCUCGGUAAUACCUACGUCCCGAGCGUUGUCCGGAUUUAUUGUGCCUAAAUCUAGCGCACGCGGUUAGAUCACUCUGAGUUUCAUAGCUGUGACGUAACCAUCUUACGCUUUGCCAACUGAUUAACUUGAAUGCUGGAAGAGAUAGUGGCAUUCCAUGAGUAGGGAUCUACUGCUGAAAUAUAUGGAUGAACACAUGUGGCGAAAACGGCUCUCUGGUCUGUAACUGACCCUGAGUGUCGAAGACGUGGAGAGCCAACAGGAUUAGAUACCCUGGGAUUCCAUACCCUGACGAUGAGUGCUAAGUGUUAUGAGCGUUUACGGGGUGUAGUGUCGCAGCUCAUCGCAUGUAAGCACUCCACCCUGGGGAGUACUCACCGCUGGGGUGUAACAUCACAGGAAUUGACGGAAUCACUAGUGCCGGCGUCUGUAGUGCGACCAUCUGGGAGAGCUCCCAACGCGAGAGAUGCAUAGCUUGAGGAUGCUAUAGCUGGCACCAUACUUAGCUGCAGCUAUCAUGCUCUAGCGUGGUCUUCUGAUA
rnacentral:rRNA from 1 species